rnacentral:rRNA from 1 species
UACGUAGGCGGAAAAUUAAGUCAGUAGUGAAAUCCUGCAGCUUAACUGUAGAACUGUUAUUGAUACUGGUUUUCUUGAAUAUAGUUGAGGUAGGCGGAAUGUGUAAUGUAGCGGUGAAAUGCUAGAUAUUACACAGAACACCGAUUGCGAAGGCAGCUUACUAAGCUAUGAUUGACGCUGAGGUACGAAAGCGUGGGGAGCGAACAGGAUUAGAUACCCUGGUAGUCC